UGAGGGAUAUUGCACAAUGGAGGGAACUCUGAUGCAGCAAUGCCGCGUGAGUGAAGGAGGCCCUAUGGGUUGUAAAGCUCUGUGGAAGGGGAAAAUAAUGAUGGUACCCAUUUAGAAAUCACCGGCUAACUACGUGCCAGCAGCCGCGGUAAUACGUAGGGUGCAAGCGUUGUUCGGAAUUACUGGGCGUAAAGGGGGAGUAGGCGGAAAGAAAAGUCAGAUGUGAAAGCCCUGUGCUUAACGCAGGAAGAGCAUUUGAAACUGGCUAACUAGAGUGUAUUAUGGG
rnacentral:rRNA from 1 species